CAGUCGUUCUACGAGAUGAACCACUGUCGUUCUACGAGAUGAACCACUGUGGUUCAUCUCGUAGAACGACAGUGGUUCAUCUCGUAGAACGAC
rnacentral:pre_miRNA from 1 species